CAACCCUGGAGUUUGCUUUCGACGAUUCGACGUGUAAUAUUGUUAGAUAAGCAGUAGCCAGCUCACAAGCUUUUCUAACGUUAGUAGGAGCAACAGUGAAUAUGUUUGCCCUCUUUGUCUUGAGGGCAGUAAGUCAGCUGGGAUGUGAAGCCCCAGCUGCUGGUGCUCAUCCCUGCCAGCUGGCUCUCAGGUUACGGCUCUUAUUUUAGGACGAGCGCUUUCUCGCCACUCCCUGACCUUUGAGCCCUCCAGACCCAGAGAGACUGUUGAUAUUAGUUUAGCUACAGAGAGCUGGCCAGUAACAUGCGGUAGCGUUAUCCAAAUUAGUUGGUCGUAGUACAGGGGUCUCCAACCUUGUUCCUGUAGUGCAGGGGUAGGCAACCCUGGUCCUCAGGUGCCACUGUCCUGAAUGUUUUAGAUGUUUCGCUCUGUGGAAGCCGGGUAAUGACCAUUCAUUUGAAUCAGGUGUGCUGGAGCAGGGAAACAUCUAAAACAUGCAGGACAGUGGCAUCUGAGGACCAGGGUUGCCUACCCCUACUGUAGAGCUACCUGUCUGUAGGUGUGUGCUCCAACCACCGGUUCAGCUAGCCUGAUUCACCACAUCAACCAGCUAAGUAUUAGAAUCAGGAACAGGAUUGGAGACCCUUAACAUAGUAAAUGUGAAUGAGGCCCAAACUGAAGUUGUU